AUUGAACGCUGGCGGCAUGCCUUACACAUGCAAGUCGAACGGCAGCACGGGAGCAAUCCUGGUGGCGAGUGGCGAACGGGUGAGUAAUGUAUCGGAACGUGCCCAGUCGUGGGGGAUAACGUAGCGAAAGCUACGCUAAUACCGCAUACGAUCUGUGGAUGAAAGCGGGGGACCGGAAGGCCUCGCGCGAUUGGAGCGGCCGAUAGCAGAUUGGGUAGUGGGUGGGGUAAAGGCCUACCAAGCCGACGAUCUGUAGCUGGUCUGAGAGGACGACCAGCCACACUGGGACUGAGACACGGCCCAGACUCCUACGGGAGGCAGCAGUGGGGAAUUUUGGACAAUGGGCGCAAGCCUGAUCCAGCAAUGCCGCGUGCAGGAUGAAGGCCUUCGGGUUGUAAACUGCUUUUGUACGGAGCGAAAAGGCUCUCUCUAAUACAGGGGGCUCAUGACGGUACCGUAAGAAUAAGCACCGGCUAACUACGUGCCAGCAGCCGCCGUAAAAC
rnacentral:rRNA from 1 species